rnacentral:rRNA from 1 species
UACGUAGGUGGCAAGCGUUUGUCCGGAUUUAUUGGGUUUAAAGGGUGCGUAGGCGGUCUAUUAAGUCAGUUGUGAAAUACGGCAGCUCAACUGUCGAGGUGCAAUUGAUACUGAUGGACUUGAGUACUGAUGAGGUAAGCGGAAUGGACGGUGUAGCGGUGAAAUGCUUAGAUAUCGUCCAGAACACCGAUAGCGAAGGCAGCUUACUAAGGAGUAACUGACGCUGAGGCACGAAAGUGUGGGGAUCAAACAGG